GGCCGAUAGUAAACUAACCGAUCAUACAGCGUCUGACAGUGAUCAAGGGGUUAUGCAUGUUUUGUUUACAGCUUGAGAACUGCAGCCGUGCAUAAAGGAUAAUCGCCUUUACGCGUUUUUUUACGAAUAACAUUUCGCCUUUCGGUGAUGUCAUUUCUUAUUCAAUUUAGCCUUGAAAGCCUCGAAGAACUAGCUCGCUAGGCUAGCUACUUUGCUAGCCUGCUAGCGGUAGGUCUGCAAGAAUUUUUGCACAGAAGCACUUUAUGUCUUAUGUGAUUCCCGAGACAGGAGAAUCAGAAAAGGGAACAGUAGUUCAUGGAAGACAAGAAAAAGAAGAAAGACGAUAAAAAGAAAAGGGAAACCUCUCAGAAGGUGCCAGAACCGAAACUCAAAGUGCCAGAAUCUGCCAAGGCUUCCUGUGCCCAGCCGCUUGCCGCCCCAGGCUCAGUGUCCCCCAGCCCUGGCCCUGUUGCUCCCUCAUCCCCCAGUCCGAGUGCAGCCGGGGUUUCUGCACAAGUUCCUCCUGGUGGUGGGAACAAUGCAAAGCAGCGGACUGCUGUGGCCAACGGGACAGCCCUCCACCUCCUCCUCUUCUGGAAGCCAGACCUCCCAGCAGCAGCGAUAUAUGUCCAGAGAGGUUCCACCGAGAUUUCGCUGUCAGCAGGACCACAAAGUGCUACUGAAGAGGGGCCAGCCACCGCUGUCCUCCAUGCUGCUGGGGGGAGGAGGAGUGGAAGGGGGUGUGGGGGGGGGUUGGAGGAGGCAGUGGCUGGGUAGGCACUGC
rnacentral:lncRNA from 1 species